GGCUCCAUCGUCUAGAGGCCUAGGACGAAGCGUUCUCAACGCUUAAACACCGGUUCGAAUCCGGUUGGAGCUA
rnacentral:tRNA from 1 species